rnacentral:rRNA from 1 species
AUUGAACGCUGGCGGCAGGCCUAACACAUGCAAGUCGAGCGGAGCGGCGGACGGGUGAGUAAUGCUUAGGAAUAUGACUGGUCGUGGGGGAUAACGUUCGGAAACGGGCGCUAAUACCGCUUACUAUCAGAUGCGCCUAGGUCGGAUUAGCUAGUUGGUGGGGUAAAGGGCUAGCAAGGCGACGAUCCGUAACUGGUCUGAGAGGAUGAUCAGGCACACUGGAACUGAGACACGGUCCAGACUCCUACGGGAGGCAGCAGUGGGGAAUAUUGGACAAUGGGCGAAAGCCUGAUCCAGCCAUGCCGCGUGUGUGAAGAAGGUCUUCGGAUUGUAAAGCACUUUAAGUUGGGAGGCGUUACCAACAGAAGAAGCACCGGCUAACUUCGUGCCAGCAGCCGCGGUAAUAC